rnacentral:rRNA from 1 species
GAUGAACGCUAGCGGCAGGCUUAACACAUGCAAGUCGAGGGGUAGAGGCUUUCGGGCCUUGAGACCGGCGCACGGGUGCGUAACGCGUAUGCAAUCUGCCUUGUACUGUGGGAUUGCCCAGAGAAAUUUGGAUUAAUACCUCAUAGUAUUUUCUGUUGGCAUCAACUGAUUAUUAAAGUUUUUCGGUACAAGAUGAGCAUGCGUCCCAUUAGCUAGUUGGUAUGGUAACGGCAUACGAAGGCUACGAUGGGUAGGGGUCCUGAGAGGGAGAUCACCCACACUGGUACUGAGACACGGACCAGACUCCUACGGGAGGAAGCAGUGAGGAAUAUUGGUCAAUGGUCGCAAGACUGAACCAGCCAUGCCGCGUGCAGGAUGAAGCAUCUAUGGUGUGUAAACUGCUUUUGUGCGGGAAGAAACACUGCUACGUGUAGCAGCUUGACGGUACCGUAAGAACAAGGAUCGGCUAACUCCGUGCCAGCCGCCGCUGUAA